CAUAAGAAAGCGCGGGUUAACUCGUGCCAGCAAUCGCGGUAAUUCGGUAAGGUUGCAAAGCGUUAAUGUAAUUACUGGGCGUAAAGCGCACGCAGGCGGUUUGUUAAAUCAGAUGUGAAAUCCCCGCGCUUAACGUGGGAACUGCAUUUGAAACUGGCAAAGCUAGAGUCUUGUAGAGGGGGGUAGAAUUCCAGGUGUAGCGGUGAAAUGCGUAGAGAUCUGGAGGAAAUACCGGUGGCGAAAGGCGGCCCCCUGGACAAAAGACUGACGCUCAGGUGCGAAAGCGUGGGGAGCAAACAGGAUUAGAUACCCUGGUAGUCCACGCUGUAAACGAUGUCGACUUGGAGGUUGUGCCCUUGAGGCGUGGCUUCCGGAGCUAACGCGUUAAGUCGACCGCCUGGGGAGUACGGCCGCAAGGUUAAAACUCAAAUGAAUUGACGGGGGCCCGCACAAGCGGUGGAGCAUGUGGUUUAAUUCGAUGCAACGCGAAGAACCUUACCUACUCUUGACAUCCACGGAAUUCGCCAGAGAUGGCUUAGUGCCUUCGGGAACCGUGAGACAGGUGCUGCAUGGCUGUCGUCAGCUCGUGUUGUGAAAUGUUGGGUUAAGUCCCGCAACGAGCGCAACCCUUAUCCUUUGUUGCCAGCACGUAAUGGUGGGAACUCAAAGGAGACUGCCGGUGAUAAACCGGAGGAAGGUGGGGAUGACGUCAAGUCAUCAUGGCCCUUACGAGUAGGGCUACACACGUGCUACAAUGGCAUAUACAAAGAGAAGCGAACUCGCGAGAGCAAGCGGACCUCAUAAAGUAUGUCGUAGUCCGGAUUGGAGUCUGCAACUCGACUCCAUGAAGUCGGAAUCGCUAGUAAUCGUAGAUCAGAAUGCUACGGUGAAUACGUUCCCGGGCCUUGUACACACCGCCCGUCACACCAUGGGAGUGGGUUGCAAAAGAAGUAGGUAGCUUAACCUUCGGGAGGGCGCUACCACUUAGGUUCUUCCCCCCA
rnacentral:rRNA from 1 species